GACGAACGCUGGCGGCGUGCUUAACACAUGCAAGUCGAACGAAGAGCGAUGGAUGCUUGCUUCUAUCAAUCUUAGUGGCGAACGGGUGAGUAACGCGUAAUCAACCUGCCCUUCAGAGGGGGACAACAGUUGGAAACGACUGCUAAUACCGCAUACGAUCUAAUCUCGGCAUCGAGGAUAGAUGAAAGGUGGCCUCUACAUGUAAGCUAUCACUGAAGGAGGGGAGUGCGUCUGAUUAGCUAGUUGGAGGGGUAACGGCCCACCAAGGCGAUGUUCAGUAGCCGGUCUGGGAGGAUGGACCGCCACAAUGGGACUGGGACACGGCCCAGACUCCUACGGGAAGGAGCAGGGGGGAAUCUUCCGCAAUGGACGGAAGUCUGACGGAGCAACGCCGCGUGAGUGAUGACGGCCUUCGGGUUGUAAAGCUCUGUUAAUCGGGACGAAAGGCCUUCUUGCGAAUAGUGAGAAGGAUUGACGGUACCGGAAUAGAAAGCCACGGCUAACUACGUG
rnacentral:rRNA from 1 species